GGGGGUACAGCUCAGUGGUAGAGAGGGUACUUGGUGUUCACAAGGCCCUGGGUUCAAUCCCCAGUGCCUCCA
rnacentral:tRNA from 1 species